rnacentral:lncRNA from 1 species
CGUAGAGCUAUGCAGCUGACACCAUACAAACAGACACCGAAGAAGUGGCUUACUGUUUCUCAGUCAGGGACAGCCUGGAACAAGUCCACGGGUUACUGCAUGGCCAAGAUCCACACUGCGCAACACCACGUGGACUUCAUACAAAUGUAUGAACCUUCCCCACAGCGUUUGCAGAGAUGAGAGCUGGCACCUUGGGCAGACUGGUGUCUGGGAUGCUGGAAUGAGAAAGGAACUGAGCAAGCAGACGCGCAGUUGACUCAGGAGGUGCCAUUGCUGGGGCUUCAAAAUCGCUGUGCAAACAAAGUAAGAGCCUUAAAAUGAGCUUACAAAAAAUAAAGGAGUAACAUGUGAUUAGAAUAACUGUACAAAUCACUGUCAUCGCAAAACUGCUCUUACGGGCGGGUACACCAGCUGGGAACAAUCACAGUCAGACUACACGUAGGCCUGCUCCUCAGCCAGCUGCUUCCCAGACUCUACUGGCACAUGGGGCCACUCCAACCCACA